rnacentral:rRNA from 1 species
GAUCUUGGUCAGGACGAACGCUGGCGGCAUGCCUAACACAUGCAAGUCGAACGGAAGUAGCAAUACUUAGUGGCGAACGGGUGAGUAACACGUGAGCAACCUGCCUUAUACUCAGGGAUAACAGUUGGAAACGACUGCUAAUACCGGAUAAGACCACACUAUGGCAUCAUAGAGGGGUCAAAGUGCUUUAGCGGUAUGAGAUGGGCUCGCGUCCAAUUAGCUAGUUGGUGGGGUAACGGCCCACCAAGGCGACGAUUGGUAGCCGACUUGAGAGAGUGAUCGGCCACACUGGAACUGAGACACGGUCCAGACUCCUACGGGAGGCAGCAGUGGGGAAUAUUGGGCAAUGGAGGAAACUCUUACCCAGCAAUGCCGCGUGAGUGAUGAAGGUCUUUGGAUUGUAAAGCUCUUUGAUUGGGGAAGAAUAAAUGACGGUACCCAAAGAACAAGCCCCGGCUAACUAUGUGCCAGCCGCAGC